rnacentral:rRNA from 1 species
AAGACCUACGGGAGGCAGCAGUGAGGAAUAUUGGUCAAUGGGCGCGAGCCUGAACCAGCCAAGUCGCGUGAGGGAUGACGGCCCUACGGGUUGUAAACCUCUUUUGUCGGGGAGCAAAUUCCGCCACGUGUGGCGGAGUCGAGAGUACCCGAAGAAAAAGCAUCGGCUAACUCCGUGCCAGCAGCCGCGGUAAUACGGAGGAUGCGAGCGUUAUCCGGAUUUAUUGGGUUUAAAGGGUGCGCAGGCGGCGAGUUAAGUCAGCGGUAAAAUUUCGGGGCUCAACCCCGACAAGCCGUUGAAACUGG